AGGGGAGUGAAAAAGAACCUGAAACCGUGUACGUACAAGCAGUGGGAGCACGCUUAGGCGUGUGACUGCGUACCUUUUGUAUAAUGGGUCAGCGACUUAUAUUCUGUAGCAAGGUUAACCGAAUAGGGGAGCCGAAGGGAAACCGAGUCUUAACUGGGCGUUAAGUUGCAGGGUAUAGACCCGAAACCCGGUGAUCUAGCCAUGGGCAGGUUGAAGGUUGGGUAACACUAACUGGAGGACCGAACCGACUAAUGUUGAAAAAUUAGCGGAUGACUUGUGGCUGGGGGUGAAAGGCCAAUCAAACCGGGAGAUAGCUGGUUCUCCCCGAAAGCUAUUUAGGUAGCGCCUCGUGAACUCAUCUCCGGGGGUAGAGCACUGUUUCGGCAAGGGGGUCAUCCCGACUUACCAACCCGAUGCAAACUGCGAAUACCGGAGAAUGUUAUCACGGGAGACACACGGCGGGUGCUAACGUCCGUCGUGAAGAGGGAAACAACCCAGACCGCCAGCUAAGGUCCCAAAGUCAUGGUUAAGUGGGAAACGAUGUGGGAAGGCCCAGACAGCCAGGAUGUUGGCUUAGAAGCAGCCAUCAUUUAAAGAAAGCGUAAUAGCUCACUGGUCGAGUCGGCCUGCGCGGAAGAUGUAACGGGGCUAAACCAUGCACCGAAGCUGCGGCAGCGACGCUUAUGCGUUGUUGGGUA
rnacentral:rRNA from 1 species